UACGAAGGGGGCUAGCGUUGUUCGGAUUUACUGGGCGUAAAGCGCACGUAGGCGGAUCGUUAAGUCGGGGGUGAAAUCCUGGAGCUCAACUCCAGAACUAGCCUUCGAUACUGGCGAUCUUGAGUCCGGAAGAGGUGAGUGGAACUCCUAGUGUAGAGGUGGAAUUCGUAGAUAUUAGGAAGAACACCAGUGGCGAAGGCGGCUCACUGGUCCGGUACUGACGCUGAGACGGCGAAAGCGUGGGGAGCGAA
rnacentral:rRNA from 1 species